AGCAUGGGCGCAGGGAGGACAGGUGCGGGGAGCAUGGACAUGGGGAGCAGAGAUGGGCACGGGGAUCACGAGUGUGGGGAGCAUGGCUGCAGGGAGGACGGGCGUGGGGAGCAUGGGCAUGGGGAGCAGAGAUGGGCGCGGGGAGCACGGGUGUGGGGAGCUUGGGUGCGGGGAGGACGGGUGCUGGGAGCACAGGGUAUGGAGAGUGCGUGUGUGCUU
rnacentral:lncRNA from 1 species